CUCUGUUAAUAAAUAAACAAAAUCUUAAAAAAAAAAAGAAAAGAAAACAAAGUAAUGUAAAAGAGAAUCGCAGUGAUGACAUUUGAGCUCUCUGGAGUGAAGACAUUUGAACUGUCUUCAAUGACAAAAAUGACAAAAAACAAAUUGCUAAAACCUGGGAGAAGGAAGAGUUUUCAAAUGCAACAGUGGCCAUCAGGCAGAAGCAAAUUUGGUAUAUUUGUGGAAGAGAGCUGAUGUUCCCAGAAGGUAAUGAGGGGAGAGUGGUAGGUGAUAUGUCAAAAGGUAGCUGGGGGCCCAAUCAUAUGUGGCCUUAUACCAUUAUGGUUAGGUUCAUAAGUUGUUCUAUAUGGAAUGGGAAGCAUUUGAAGGGUUUUAAAUAGGUAUUCUAAUCUAAUUUAUCUUUCAGAAGGGUCACAGUCCGUGCUCGUAGGAACGGCUCAUGGGGGAAGUGUGGGGCAAGACUAUGGCACAAAGACAGGAAGAGCUUCCAAGACCCGAUGAAACCUGAUGGAGGCCAAGUUCUAGGAGGGGUCCUGUAAUACAGUCACAUUUUCUUUAUGUGAAAAUUUCAAAAAUAAGCUAUUUCAACAGCAAUUGGUUAAAACCAGUCUUUUCCCGUGCUAACUACCCCUCUUUCAGUCUUUCCCUUGUUUUAGGUGGUGUUGGAGGCUUCAGACAUUUUUGGGAAUCUGGCUGGGGUGAGAUUGAGCUGAGGACACAUUUGGUUUACAUUAAGUGAGAUAUAUUUAUAUGAUUUUAUGUGAUUUACAGUGAUUUCUGCGUAUAGUUAAGUUUCUGCUUGCCAUUUCUCGUGUAGGAAUUGCUUCCAGGACUAUUGCUUCCGCCUACUGUGUGCACUCACCCAUCUGUAGGAUGUGGAACUGCACAAAACUGGCUUGGACAUGUUCUAUGGCCCUCAGUACUUAAGUAUGCGGGUAGAAGACAAUCAAGAUACAAGAGAAAAGAGGAUCGGACCAGCUGGUUUAGCAGUUGGGGACCCAACCACAAGAUGGCGAGGCAUCUCUGCUGAUGCAGGUUACAUGAAAGGGUCCUUCUGGUUGCCUGUAAGAGUAAGCUAAGACAGAAGCAGACACUUGUGUAGACAGUUGAAGAAACCACUGUGCUUUGGAGGAAAGAAAGAGAUAACCUGGUAAUAGAAGCAGCUCUCCUGGCUGGAGAUUGCAGAUCCCAGCUGGAGAUACAAUGAAGACAUUUAUUGGACCUCUGUUCCUGUUCUCGUGGCUGCGGCUGGACGGGAUGAGCAGAGAAGAGGUGAAGCAGCACCUUCUUUCCUGACUGUCUGGGAGGGAGACAGCUUUGUUAUCAACUGCGCUUACACAGACAGUGCCUCCACCUACUUCUUUUGGUACAAGCAAGAGCCUGGAAAAAGCCUCCACUUGCUUAUUUACACUCUUUCAAAUGUGGUCCAGAAACAAGAACAAGGACUCACCGUCCUAUUGAAUAAGAAGGACAAACAUCUUUCCCUGCAAGACACAGCCACCCAUCCUGGGGACUCAGCCACCUACUUCUGUGCGACAAAAGCACCUGCAGCCUGUCCCCAAACCGAAGACUGGGGUGGAAGCCCCACUCUUUUUCCUUUGUCACAAGCCUUCAAGUCAGAGAUGAAGAAAUUGGUACCUGAAGACAUUAAGCAGCUUGCCCAACCAAGCUCAGUCAGAGAUUAAAGGCAAGAGUGGGUUUCAGAGCCGGGACGACUUGAGGCUGGAACACAACCCACAGUGCCUAUCAACCCUUCUCUUCAAAUUACUCUUGUGGACAAGCAGCCAGGUUGAAUGUAUAGAAUUUUUUUAAAUA